UACGUAGGCAGCGAGCGUUGUUCGGAGUUACUGGGCGUAAAGGGUGUGUAGGCGGUUUUCUAAGUUUGGUGUGAAAUCUCCCGGCUCAACCGGGAGGGUGCGCCGAAAACUGGGAGACUAGAGUGCGGGAUGGGAGAGUAGAAUUCCUGGUGUAGCGGUGAAAUGCGUAGAUAUCAGGAGGAAUACCGGUGGUGUAGACGGCUCUCUGGACCGCAACUGACGCUGAGGAGCGAAAGCGUGGGGAGCGAACAGG
rnacentral:rRNA from 1 species